AUUGAACGCUGGCGGAAGGCCUAACAAAUGCAAGUCGAACGAGUGGCGGACGGGUGAGUAAUGUCUGGGAAACUGCCUGAUGGAGGGGGAUAAAUACUGGAAACGGUAGCUAAUACCGCAUACCAUCGGAUUUGCCCAGAUGGGAUUAGCCAGGAGGGGGGGUAACGGCUCACCUAGGCGACGAUCCCGAGCUGGUCGGAACGGAUGACCAGCAACACUGGAACGGAGACACGGUCCAGACUCCUACGGGAGGCAGCAGUGGGGAAUAUUGCACAAUGGGCGCAAGCCUGAGGCAGCCAUGCCGCGUGUAUGAAGAAGGCCUUCGGGUUGUAAAGUACUUUCAGCGGGGAGGCGUUACCCGCAGAAGAAGCACCGGCUAACUCCGUGCCAGCAGCCGCGGUAAUAC
rnacentral:rRNA from 1 species